rnacentral:rRNA from 1 species
AAAGGAAUUGACGGGGGCCCGCACAAGCGGAGGAACAUGUGGUUUAAUUCGAUGAUACGCGAGGAACCUUACCCGGGCUUGAAAUGCAGAAGACCGAAGCGGAAACGCUUCUUCCAGCAAUGGCUUCUGUGUAGGUGCUGCAUGGUUGUCGUCAGCUCGUGCCGUGAGGUGUCGGCUUAAGUGCCAUAACGAGCGCAACCCUUGUCGGUAGUUGCUAUCAGGUAAUGCUGGGGACUCUACCGAGACUGCCAUCGUAAGAUGCGAGGAAGGUGGGGAUGACGUCAAAUCAGCACGGCCCUUACGUCCGGGGCGACACACGUGUUACAAUGGGUGGUACAACGGGCAGCUACCUGGCGACAGGAUGCUAAUCUCUUAAAUCCACUCUCAGUUCGGAUCGAAGUCUGCAACCCGACUUCGUGAAGCUGGAUUCGCUAGUAAUCGCGCAUCAGCCACGGCGCGGUGAAUACGUUCCCGGGCCUUGUACACACCGCCCGU